UCACAAAGUAAGCGAACACAACCAUAUACACGCAUAUUUCAUUCAUAUGUAACAGAGGCAUGUUUCAUUCAUAUCAAUUCCAGUAACAGAGACACGUAACAGAGUAGGCAUUCACAUACGACCAAGGACCGGGAAAGACAACUUUCCCCUCCUCUGGUUUCAAAGACAAUGAGAAAGGUAAAUGGUUCUCCCCUCCUCUGGCCAUGAGGUCCCUUCUUCCCAGGUGGUGAUGUUUGGUGAUAGUGGUGAGUCUCCAAAUGCUCUCUGUGACGAUGAUGGGUUGUAGAUGAAACUUAGUACUCAAUACUCUCUCC
rnacentral:lncRNA from 1 species